rnacentral:lncRNA from 1 species
UGGGGCUGGCAGCCAGUAGGCUCUUUGCAAGGCCCUACUCUGGGAGGAGCUUGCAGGUUUCCUGGGUGGCAUGCAGUCAAGGGAUGCUCCUGGAAUGAGCGGAGUUACAACUUUGGCUGACAGCUGGGGGCUAAUCUCUGUGGCCACACUGCUGACAGGAUAUUUAUUGACUUCAGUACUGGCUCGUGGUAGAAGACAAGGUUCUGAUCUGUGCUCUUGACUUGACAAUGGUCUGAGUUUAGAGUAGGGAAACAUGGGGCAGCUGCAGUCAGCCUCCAAGACAGCCAGGUACCAUUGGUAUUUCCUUAUUGAAGACCAAAAGAUGGCUGAGAGACUGACAAAGCUGUGCUUUGGGGAAAGGCCUGGCAUCUGUUGGCCCAGAAUGUGGUUGAGCACCAAGUCAUAUUGAAGGAAGCUCCCAUGUGGCAAGAAGGCUGAGCUGUCGUGAGCCAAUCACUGCACUGUGCAUCACGAUCUACAAUCAUGACCAUCAAGUGAGUCCCACAAGUCCUGCCAUGGGAAACAAGAACAGAGCAGAUUUGGGCUGUAGGUGACUACUAAGUCAAACCUCCAGUCCAUAAUGAAGCCAGUCUAGGGAAGGCAUGUGCUCAUUUUCACUGUGUAAGGGAGUCUUGGUGGGGACAAACCAAGUGAAUCAGUCAAUGUAAUACUGACUGAGUCUUGGAGAUGCACAGAGCAGUGCACCAAGAGGCUGUAUGACUUUGUGGCAUGGCUCCAGCCAUACUUCUUGGGACAUGUCCCUCAUUCCUUUGGCCUUUCACCCAAGAGGAUGAUGGACACACAAACCUAGCCAGCUCAUAGACUAUUUGCCUGACUUUUCUUCUGUUCCUCACUUUUCCAAUGGGCGAAGAUUCAGUCACUGGGAACUACCACGUACCCAGGCUUUUGGCAUGCAUGCCCUUUGUGGAGCCCACAGAUGUAAGCUCACAGAGAGAAUACACUGUACACCUUGUAACAGACUCUUAAGUAGUUGCUCUGGGUCACAAAGAGUUUCGUCAGAGAAUCGUAUAACUUUGUAAGCCAGUCACAAUGCUCUUUGUAGCCAGAGGUCAAUUCCGGAACUCUUAGGGCAAUUUUUUCUUUCUUUGGUUUUCUUGAAGUAUGUUAUGUGCUCUCUGGGAAGCAUGUGAGGAAAGGCAGGGCGCAUGCAUGGGGAGUUGUUUCUGGGUAUGUGUUCCCAGAUCCUGCAAGCCAGGACAGCAGCCGGGGCAGGGAGCCUCACUCAGCUCUGCAGACAUGUCUUCCAGGACAGGUCCCAAAGGAAAGGGGACCAGGUGGUGUACUUCCAGCCAGAGUGAACUUGUUCUCUGAACAGGUGGCAGCCCUUAGUUCUGGAGAAGAGGAAACUUCAUGCCAGCUAUCCAUUUGUCUCAAAUGUUCUUCCUCUUUUCCUUAUCCAGAUAGUUCAUCUAUAUAUCUUCCUCAUUCUGCCUGAAGAACUUCCUCAGCCCUGAAGGAGACCAAGCUGGGUUAGAGUGGCACUAUUCAUGCCUGCCUUAUUUAGAAAAUACAGUAACUGAACAAUAUGGAAAACAUUGGAGUUUUGGCCACAGGACUGGGGCAUUGUCCUGAAUGAGCGAGCCCACUGCUGAGCAUGCUAAGUGGCAGAUCCACUACAUCACUGAGCUGGUAGAUAUCUUCUCCUCUCCUAACUCGUCAACUUUGGGCCACACAAACCCCUGUGCAUGUGUAUGUCUACUUAGAGUGAAUUCAUUGUAAGGUGGGCUUCCAAGAGAAGCACCUUUCCUGCCUAGAAGUGUCCCUCUAGGGGAGGAACAGGGUGGGACUAACGGGAAC